AAGACCUUGCGCUUUUGGAGCGGCCGAUGUCUGAUUAGCUUGUUGGUAAGGUAAAAGCUUACCAAGGCUUCGAUCAGUAGCUGGUCUGAGAGGACGACCAGCCACACUGGGACUGAGACACGGCCCAGACUCCUACGGGAGGCAGCAGUGGGGAAUUUUGGACAAUGGGGGCAACCCUGAUCCAGCCAUGCCGCGUGAGUGAAGAAGGCCUUCGGGUCGUAAAGCUCUUUCAGCCGGAACGAAACGGUUACGGUUAAUACCCGUGACUACUGACGGUACCGGAAGAAGAAGCACCGGCUAACUACGUGCCAGCAGCCGCGGUAAUACGUAGGGUGCAAGCGUUAAUCGGAAUUACUGGGCGUAAAGCGUGCGCAGGUGGUUUUGUAAGUCAGAUGUGAAAUCCCCGGGCUUAACCUGGGAACU
rnacentral:rRNA from 1 species